GACGAACGCUGGCGGCGUGCUUAACACAUGCAAGUCGAGCGGUAAGGCCCUUUCGGGGGUACACGAGCGGCGAACGGGUGAGUAACACGUGGGUGACCUGCCCUCAGCUCUGGGAUAAGCCUGGGAAACCGGGUCUAAUACCGGAUAUGACUCCAUGACGCAUGUUGUGGGGUGGAAAGCCUUGUGCGGCUGAGGGUGGGCCCGCGGCCUAUCAGCUAGUUGGUGGGGUAAUGGCUCACCAAGGCGACGACGGGUAGCUGGUCUGAGAGGAUGGCCAGCCACAUUGGGACUGAGACACGGCCCAGACUCCUACGGGAGGCAGCAGUGGGGAAUAUUGCGCAAUGGGCGAAAGCCUGACGCAGCGACGCCGCGUGUGGGAUGACGG
rnacentral:rRNA from 1 species